rnacentral:pre_miRNA from 14 species
UUGUUAGUCUAGUGAUGAGCUCACAGGUCCAGUGCUUCAUGAUGAAAGAUCCCUCGCAGAGAGACCCUUACUCAAGUCUUGGGAAAUCGCGGACCCCAGACACAGAGAGACCA